rnacentral:rRNA from 1 species
GGGUUGUGAGGUUAAGCGACUAAGCGUACACGGUGGAUGCCCUGGCAGUCAGAGGCGAUGAAGGGCGUGCUAAUCUGCGAUAAGCGCCGGUAAGGUGAUAUGAACCGCAAUAACCGGCGAUACCCGAAUGGGGAAACCCAGUGUGACUCGUCACACUAUCAUGCAGUGAAUACAUAGCUGUAUGAGGCGAACCGGGGGAACUGAAACAUCUAAGUACCCCGAGGAAAAGAAAUCAACCGAGAUUCCCCCAGUAGCGGCGAGCGAACGGGGAGGAGCCCAGAACCAUCAUCAGCUUGUGCAUCAGUGGAAGCGUCUGGAAAGUCGCAGGGUACAGGGUGAUACUCCCGUACACAAAGGUGCACAGGCUGUGAGUUCGAUGAGUAAGGCGGGACACGUGGUAUCCUGUCUGAAUAUGGGGGGA